UACGAAGGGGGCUAGCGUUGCUCGGAAUCACUGGGCGUAAAGCGCACGUAGGCGGCUUUCUAAGUCAGGGGUGAAAUCCUGGAGCUCAACUCCAGAACUGCCCUUGAUACUGGAAAGCUUGAGUUCGGGAGAGGUGAGUGGAACUGCGAGUGUAGAGGUGAAAUUCGUAGAUAUUCGCAAGAACACCAGUGGCGAAGGCGGCUCACUGGCCCGAUACUGACGCUGAGGUGCGAAAGCGUGGGGAGCAAACAGG
rnacentral:rRNA from 1 species